AUUGGUAGACGCUACGGACUUAAUUGGAGAAAAUCCGUCGACUUUAGAAAUCGUGAGGGUUCAAGUCCCUCUAUCCCCA
rnacentral:tRNA from 1 species